rnacentral:lncRNA from 1 species
AGGAAGGGUUUGUCAGGCUCAAAUUAACUGUCGUAUGACUUUCUGGUACAUGUUUGAAAGCCUCUAGACGGUGGAUUUAAAACAAGAAAAUUAUUGAUAGGCAGCUUAUGGGAAUUUAGCAGUUCAUAUAUAUAUUUUGUUGAUUGAAUGGAACAACUUGUAAGGUCAAGAUCACAGCUCGGAAAGGAGUUAAACCGUCACACUCUGACACCGACUAUAUCACAGGCUUAUCAGCAAGUGGUGCUGUCUAUUGGAGGGGCCUUAGACGAGGCUGGUAAGAGACUGAAACCCCCUAUGAAUUGAAAAUGAAUGGGGAAUCUAUCAAAAUUGCUUGAUAUUCGAGAACUAUGAUAUGCAUUGUCUCACAAUAAAUUAAACUAUGAUAUGUAUGUAUGAAAGUAACCUUAAAACUACCCUGCAAAACAAGGUUUCUGCCAUGGAAACAAGAGCAAAAAAAUAACAUUGUACCAUACCAUUCAGUAGCAUGCCUUAUACUAGAACUUGGACGAAAAGAUCUCAUCCCAGAUAUACUUGGUUUCAGUUCAGCAACAGUGACAACACCCAUCUUCAAAAAUAAAAAAAUAAAAAAAACCAGUAAAAUUCAGAUUUCAGCCUCAAUGCUCCCUCUGAAAGCUCUGAACCAGCAGUCCCUCACCAAAGAAGUUUUUUUUCUUUCAGUCCAAUAGUUUCAUGGUUUUCUGCAGCUGACAGCUUGUUUAUGGAACACUAAUGAUGAGUGAUCUCUCUCUUUCUUUCUCUUAAUUAUCUUCUAUUGUGGAAAAGAGAAUGGGUGGAGUGAGGUAAAAGUAACAUGAACUCAUGCAAGAUUAAAGGGUAAUGAUGACUUUGAAAUAUACUUUUUUAAUGAGUGUAUAUAAUAUGCCUAAUCUAAAGCCAAGAACGUGUUGGUCUGUUGCUUCAACUUUUCGGUGAAAGGUAGUGAGAGUGUCUUUGUUUUUUUACAUGCGUUGAACUUUAAAUCUAUCAUAUAUGAACUCGUACUUUCUUUUUGAAAUGAUUUUCGUUUAUGAAGGAAAGAUAUCUCAGGAUUCCUAAGAGCUGCAGUGGUGUUUUAGGAUGUAAUUACGUGUAAUGAAAGGGUAAAAGUAUGAUAGAUAUUGUUGGACGUGGUUGACAAAAUAACUAAACAGCAGUUAACAUAUUAUGUAUAUCUAAUGUUGACCUACAGAACUAUUUUUUAACGGUGAGAAUAGAGUAAAGUAAUUUUUUUUUUACUUUGAGAAGGUUUUCAAAUAUAUGAUUUCAAAUUUAUGUACUCUAGCAUUAAAUUAAUUAUACAGUAAUAAUAUUUUAAUUUGACUAUUUAAUUUUUAAAUUUAACUCGAACAAUUUCACUCUAUCCAACUCGAAUUGAAUUUUAUUUUACUCGACUAAAAAAAUUCAAAUCAAAUUAAAAUAAUAAAAUAAAAUUUAUUAACUCAAUUAACUUAAAAAUCUUUUAUAAAGGGCUUUUACCGAAAUGAAAGCUACCUACUAAGAAAAGAUUAGCAUGUGUAAAGUCUCAUAAAGUAGGAAAUUAAGAAGAUUUUCGUGUUGUAUAAUUAGUACAGCUCUCUCCUCUGUCCAUAGUACAUCACUCAAGAACUUGCUUUAAAUUUUGCAGAGAAUAUACAUAUAUAAAUAUAGCCUAUUUUCAGUCCUAUAGCUAAGAUGCCUAGCUUUCAAUUAUGGACAUUUCUCUGCCACAAUUUCUAGGACGAUACCUCAGCAGCCAUACUUUUCUGAAUUUCUUCAAAAUGAAAUUUGAAGUCUAUGUCAUUCAUUCCUUCCCUCUGUCUUACACAAAUUUUAGUGCAAAUAUUUGUUGGUUUUGGACAAACAUCCUUUUUUGGAGAGGAUGCCACCGAUUAAAUAUGACAAAUUUAAACCCCAUUUGAAAGCACAAAAACAAAUGGCCUAUUAAAUAUGACAAAUUUAAACCCCUAAGAUUGCUUUUGAUCAAGUGGUAAUAAUGAUCCCAUCAACUCAUACCUUUAUGUGCAUGGCCUAUUAAUAGUGAAUGGUUAGCAUUUGAUCAAAUGCUAAAGUGAUUUGAUCAUUUUGCCUUUUUUUCUUUCUUGGUUAGGCCAUUAUGCCUUCCCUCCUCUCUGUUUUUCCAUGAGAGUUUUCAGAAUUGAAUAGUUUGCAUUAAAUUGCAUAUGUAUGUCUCCUUGGAUAAAAUACAUCACUUCUUAAUUCCUUUUAUUCAUUACUUUUUGACGAAGUCUUAAUUAAAUUGUUUAUGUAUAUACGGACCAUGUGUUAUGGCAAUGAGCAGCCACAUGAGAGAGCUUAAGAUAUUGGGUUUUUUGAACUCUGAAUAUUUUUGGUUGCAUGAAGAACAAAUUAUUAGACUGUGGCACCUGAAUAAUUCAUCAUGAGAGUAGCAUAAUGUAUGAAAUAUUGGUGUAGCCACUCGCAGUUUUGCCUUUUUGGCUUUGCCAAAUAUAAACAAACUUAUUUUGGACCCUUCCAAAAAAAAAAAAGUGAUUUAUAUCAGAAAUCUCAGUUGCAAGUUCAGUUCAUUUCUCAAAUUAAAGUUUUCUUUAUAUUGUAACUCAGAAUAUUAGAAUUAACUACAAAAUACUACAUAUGUCUUUGUUUUUGUACAGACAAAGAAAAUCAAAAUUUGGGUUGAAAACUUUGUUUGUGGAUCUGUUUCUAGUGGAAGUAUAGACCAGACAUUUGGUUACCUAAAAGUUAAAAGCCAAAAGGGUAUCUUCUUUUGUCACAAUUCAUUUUUUUUCUACUUUUAAAUGCAGUUGAUGAAGAAAGCAACUUUUGAAUCAUUAGUGCAGGUGAGCAAUGGUGGUGGCUACAAUUAUAGUGACACAAAUAUGUGAGCCCACUGUUUUGAAAGCACCCCCCAUUCCCCCAAAGGCGCAUAACUGCAUAUAAUCCACUGUAUGUGCUGCUAUGAUCAUCACAUUGCUGCAAAUCAAGGAUUGAUGGCUGAUCGUGUGGCUGUAUAUUCUUUAAUUAUGAUCUUAAUACAAUCAUUCUCCUUUUCCUAAAUGAACCUGGUGCAUUUAUUGUUCUUUGUCAUUAAAAGGGUGGCUUUCAAAUCAUUGAACUAUUGCUUGUCUCUGUAUUUUACAAGAUAGCUUGUUCAUCCUCCCUCGCUUUGUUGGAGCAUAAAUUCUGGGUAGUGC